UUGACCUCAAAUCAGGUAGGACUACCCGCUGAACUUAAGCAUAUCAAUAAGCGGAGGAAAAGAAACUAACAAGGAUUCCCCUAGUAACUGCGAGUGAAGCGGGAAAAGCUCAAAUUUGAAAUCUGGCAGGUCUUGAACUUGUCCGAGUUGUAAUCUAGAGAAGUGUUACCUGUGCUGGACCGUGUACAAGUCUCCUGGAAUGGAGCGUCACAGAGGGUGAGAAUCCCGUCUUUGACACGGACUGCCUGCACGUUAUGGUGCGCUCUCAAAGAGUCGAGUUGUUUGGGAAUGCAGCUCAAAAUGGGUGGUAAAUGCCAUCUAAAGCUAAAUAUUGGCGAGAGACCGAUAGCGAACAAGUACCGUGAGGGAAAGAUGAAAAGUACUUUGGAAAGAGAGUUAAACAGUACGUGAAAUUGCUGAAAGGGAAACGCUUGAAGUCAGUCGCGUUGGCUGGAAAUCAACCUUGCUUUUGCUUGGUGUACUUUCUGGUCGACGGGUCAGCAUCAAUUUUGACCGCUGGAUAAAGUCUUUGGGAAUGUGGCAUCUUAGGAUGUGUUAUAGCCCAUUGUCGCAUACAACGGUUGGGAUUGAGGAACUCAGCACGCCCACAAGGGACAGGUUUUUUGACCAUGUUUUCGUGCUUAGGAUGCUGGCAUAAUGGCUUUAAUCGACCCGUC
rnacentral:rRNA from 1 species